rnacentral:rRNA from 1 species
GUAGGUGGCAAGCGUUGUCCGGAAUUAUUGGGCGUAAAGCGCGCGCAGGCGGUCCUUUAAGUCUGAUGUGAAAGCCCACGGCUCAACCGUGGAGGGUCAUUGGAAACUGGGGGACUUGAGUACAGAAGAGGAAAGCGGAAUUCCAAGUGUAGCGGUGAAAUGCGUAGAGAUUUGGAGGAACACCGGUGGCGAAGGCGGCUUUCUGGUCUGUAACUGACGCUGGGGCGCGAAAGCGUGGGGAGCAAACAGGACUAGAUACCCUGGUAGUCCACGCCGUAAACGAUGAGUGCUAAGUGUUAGGGGGUUUCCCGCCCCCCUUAGUGCUGCAGCUAACGCAUUAAGCACUCCGCCUAGGGGAGUACGGCCCGCAAGGCUG